AGUGAACGCUGGCGGCAUGCCUAACACAUGCAAGUCGAGCGACAGCACGGUGAGCGUUGGCUCUUAGGGUUGGCGAGUGACGGACGAGUAAGACAUGGAUCGAAAACCUCUAAGACUGGGGGAACAACGGGGGGCCACUGCCGCUAAUAGAUAAUAUAUCGAACCGGUUGAAGCAAGAGUUCAUGGAGCUUUUUGCGAUUGUAAUAGCUGAAUCCGGGUCGCAUUAGCUAGUUGGUAAGGUAACGGCCUACCAAGGCAACGAUGCGUAGCCGACCUGAGAGGGUGAUCGGCCACACUGGAACUGAGACACGGUCCAGACUCCUACGGGAGGCAGCAGUAGGGAAUCUUCCGCAAUGGGCGAAAGCCUGACGGAGCAACGCCGCGUGAGUGAUGAAGGUCUUCGGAUCGUAAAACUCUGUUAUUAGGGAAGAACAAAUGUGUAAGUAACUAUGCACGUCUUGACGGUACCUAAUCAGAAAGCCACGGCUAACUACGUG
rnacentral:rRNA from 1 species